UAGGAUGCCAUCUCUUCUCUCCCCACCAGGUGUUUGGGCCCCAGAGCCGGAGAGUCCCCAGGGAAGACUGCUGUUUGUGGAACCGAGCAGCCCUUGAGUUCAUUAAUAAAUCGGAACUGUCAUUCUUGACGAUUCAGUCAGUUGCACUGUGCCUGAGGAGGCAGACUGCCUGCCUACAGGCCUGAAUGGAAUUCCUGGUGUCGGAAACAUCCUGGAGAACAAAGCACCCUUAUCUCUGGGACACCGAGCUAAUGAGCCCAAGAGCACGUGCUGCUGCUGGAAGGGGCCGGCACAGAGCGGUUCAGGCUGCUGGCUCCCCCCGCCCUGCCCUGCAGUUCCGGGGGUCUCGUUGUAGUUUGAGCCUCCGCCCGUCCUCCAGGCUGUCAGCGAAGACUGCAGGUGGCCUCCCUGGAGACCCCUCCCCGUUCGCUGCUGCUAACAGCUUAGCAAGCAGAGGACCGGCACUGCCAGUCUGAGUGCAGAGGAAGAGCCAGCGGGCGCUCCGGGAGGCCUCAGAGGCUUUUUGGACAAUAAAGGGUAUGGCAACUGGGUAUCCACUUGGUGGCC
rnacentral:lncRNA from 1 species